CGAGGCCGUGGCCCUUCGAGGCUGGACUCUCGUCCCUGAGCGCCAAGGAGCCCUGCGAAUGCGUAGGGUCCGAGUCCCCCUGGUCGUCACCUCCGAAAAAGCGUUCGGUCUCUCAGAACUGUAGCCGGCGCCGGCACGGAACGAGAGGGGCGCCCGCCCGGGCCGAGCAGCACGAACCUGGCAAAGCGGCAGACGCGUCACCGCCACCAGACGCAGCAUCCCUUUAGGCGCGGAGCAUAGUCUUACUACAGACAGGCCAGCCUUGCGGGGGGAAGGAAGGAAAAGUGUUUUAAUUUAGAUCUCAGAAGGCCCUAUGAAAAAAUGGGAACUGCUUCAGAGACAAGGAAAGAAACAAAAAAAUUCAGCAUGCCCUCAAUUUAAGUCUCUAAAGCAAUGAACACUAGAUGGCAGCAAAUCAACAUUUGUCAUUACUGGGGCCUGAAAGAUCCCAGUUUAAAGCCACAGCUCUCCAAGCAUGGGAAGUCCAGGAAAUGAUGCUGAGCACUGUCUGGUGAGGAAGGAACCUUUGAAUUGGGCUUUGAUUUUGCCUACUGGAAGAUGAGGCUUUCCUGAAUCAGGUGUGAAAGCAAGAAGGAAAGAUUGUGGAAACAGCUCUUAAGCAAAAAAGAUGAUACUUUGAAAGCUGUUCUAUAGAUGACUCUGGAGUGUUUCUGAGGCUUUAUUUUUUAUGUAAGUACGUUUAUAUUCUAAAUUUUAGGAAAUAUUGGUUUAUGUGCAUGCAUAUAAAUGGCCCACAUUUUCUUUGCUUUUAUAUUUUAUUUUUUAGGAGGCUACUAAACUGUUGGCCAAAGUGGUUGUCAUUUUACAGUUCGACCAUAAGUUAAAAAAAAAAAACAUUUACUUGCUUUGCCAGUUUAAAAAAAUUAUCCAUUUUAGAAGUUUUUUUUUAAAAAAAACUGAGAUAAAAAAUAAAUAAACUGAGAUAAAAUUAGUAUAUUACAUAACUUUUAGGUGUACAACAUUAUAAUUCAACAUCCAUUUGUGUUACAAAGUGAUCAUCACCAAAGCCUAUUUACUGUCACCAUAUAUAAUUGACCUCCUUUAUCUAUAUUGCUCACCCUCCAAUUCUCUUCCCCUCUGAUAAUCUUCUAUUUGUUCUCUAUGUUUAUUAGAUUUUGUAUUGUUUCGUCUAUUUGUUUCGUUUAUUUAGAUUCCACAUAUGAAAGAAAUCAUAUGGUAUUUGUCUUUCUGUGACUUAAUUCAUGUAACUUAAUACCUUCAAGGUCCAGCCAUGUUGUCACAAAUGCCAAGAUUUCAUUCUUCUUUAUGGUGAGUAGUAUUUUUUUAAUGUCAAUAUAUAGAAGUUACCAAAAGAAUUAGUUUUUCACUAAGUGAAUCAAUUAGUUCCUGGGGCAUUGGCCAUUUAUUACAUUGAUAAUAUCAGUCGAUAGGACAAGAAAAUUUGCUUGUAUGAUAGGUGCCUUAGUAUACAUGUACUUCUUUUCUUCUUCUUCUUCUUCUUUCUUCUUCUUUUUCUUCUCUUCUUCUUCUAAAAACACAGGGGUCUGACACUUCAGCGAAUUUUUUGGAAUCCAAGAAUCUUGGGCAUGAAAAGAGAUAGCUUCACAAACAAUGAAUUGCUGAACUCUUCAACAUUUAGUAGGCUUGCUUAAAUUUUGGCAGCAAUUUAUUCCACUUAUUGGAGUACUGCCCAUUUUAUUAACUGGGUAACCUAAAAAUGUGCCAGCAUUGAGUAAGGCUUGAGCAAGAGAAGAACUCUAUUUGGCCCAGGCCAACUUCUUGAUUUCUUGUGUCCAAUGGAAUUCCACAUUGCUUAAAGCACCUAUGGAAGAUCAGAAUGCUAUGGCAGGCACUGAUAAGAGAAUUGGAGAGGAGACUCAUACCUUUGAUUUGAGAGAUAGCGGGGAUUGUGGUGAUGGCAUUGUCUCCCCCAUCACCAAAAAAGGUGGCAGGAACUUGCUUGGUCUGAGUCCAUGCACAACUUCUGCCUCUCUCCUUCAAAUGGACAAGUCUAUGAUAUAUUCUGUAAAUUCAUCAAGAGGUACCAGCAGAAAAGAAUGUCUCAAUACCCUACAACCAAAGACCAGCAAGAAUACAUCUGCUGUUGAACAAAUUUGGUCUAAUGUUUGUUACAGAGAAAGUACCGCAUAGGGAACUGUGGGACAUCUAUGUAAGAAACUGUUAAAAAUGAUUUACACAUUUUAAACUGUGUUAGAUAUUCUGGAGGAGAGUUCAAGAUAACUGUUCUUUGUUCAGGAUUGAAUGUGGUCAGGAAGCAAGGUUGAUUCUAUGAUUGGGUAUCUUAAAUCUUACCUAUAAGAUGGGAGGAAUAAAGUGAGGUUAUAUCUGUAACUGGUAAAGAAGUAGCAGGCACUCAUAUGAACAUGGUUAGGAAGAUACUUGGUUGUUUUUAAUGGCUUGGGCAAUGUUCAUGUUUUUAUCUGUUUUAAGAUAUAAUUAUAAUAUGAUUUUUUUUUGUCCUAAUCAUUACAAUCAGAGUGCCCUUCUCUGAUGCUGAAGGUCUGUGAAAUUACUCUUGCCUAACAGAACACCGAGACCUAGCUGUGAGUGUCAGGCCAGUUCUUAGCAAAACCAAAGUCUAGCUGAUAGUUCCAGGCCAGUCCUGUCUGUUGGGGGCUGUUUUUCUCUCUGAAGAGCCACCGUUCACAGCAUUAAUCUCAAUAACACCUAUUUAUCUUGAACUUUUAUCCUUCCUUGUCUCAUUCUUCCUGGUUUUUCACUAGUACUCUUUGGAAUGGAAUCUGGCUCAGACCACUUUAUUCUGGUUUGCACCUUCAUUCUUUUCCAGACAUGAUAACUCAAACUAAGACAUUCUUUUUGGGAAACAAAAAUAUUCUAAGUAUUCUUCUUUUGAAUGGGGGCAGCUCAGGAUUGGCUCCUGGCAGCAGCCUUCUAUGGUGGCCAUGUGGAAAGCAUGCAGCAUCUAUCAGAUUUGUCCUGGAACAAUGUGCCUGAGGAGCAGACAACUGCCACAUCCCACAUCCUUCCAGAUAUCUUGCUCUUACAUAAACCUCUAAGUGCAACUAUAAUCCUGAAAAAGAAAAAAA
rnacentral:lncRNA from 1 species